AGGGGUGUAGCUCAGUAGUAGAGCACUUGACUAGCAUGUGUGAGAUUCUGGGUUAAAUACCCAGCACCACUG
rnacentral:tRNA from 1 species